AUUGAACGCUGGCGGCAGGCCUAACACAUGCAAGUCGAACGGUAACAGGAAACAGCUUGCUGUUUCGCUGACGAGUGGCGGACGGGUGAGUAAUGUCUGGGAAACUGCCUGAUGGAGGGGGAUAACUACUGGAAACGGUAGCUAAUACCGCAUAACGUCGCAAGACCAAAGAGGGGGACCUUCGGGCCUCUUGCCAUCGGAUGUGCGCAGAUGGGAUUAGCUAGUAGGUGGGGUAACGGCUCACCUAGGCGACGAUCCCUAGCUGGUCUGAGAGGAUGACCAGCCACACUGGAACUGAGACACGGUCCAGACUCCUACGGGAGGCAGCAGUGGGGAAUAUUGCACAAUGGGCGCAAGCCUGAUGCAGCCAUGCCGCGUGUAUGAAGAAGGCCUUCGGGUUGUAAAGUACUUUCAGCGGGGAGGAAGGGAGUAAAGUUAAUACCUUUGCUCAUUGACGUUACCCGCAGAAGAAGCACCGGCUAACUACGUG
rnacentral:rRNA from 1 species